rnacentral:rRNA from 1 species
UGGGGAAUUUUGGACAAUGGGCGCAAGCCUGAUCCAGCCAUGCCGCGUGCGGGAAGAAGGCCUUCGGGUUGUAAACCGCUUUUGUCAGGGAAGAAAUCUUCUGAGUUAAUACCUCGGGAGGAUGACGGUACCUGAAGAAUAAGCACCGGCUAACUACGUGCCAGCAGCCGCGGUAAUACGUAGGGUGCAAGCGUUAAUCGGAAUUACUGGGCGUAAAGCGUGCGCAGGCGGUUUUGUAAGACAGAGGUGAAAUCCCCGGGCUCAACCUGGGAACUGCCUUUGUGACUGCAAGGCUUGAGUGCGGCAGAGGGGGAUGGAAUUCCGCGUGUAGCAGUGAAAUGCGUAGAUAUGCGGAGGAACACCGAUGGCGAAGGCAAUCCCCUGGGCCUGCACUGACGCUCAUGCACGAAAGCGUGGGGAGCAAACAGGAUUAGAUACCCCUGGUAGUCCACGCCCUAAACGAUGUCAACUGGUUGUUGGGAAGGUUCCUUCUCAGUAACGUAGCUAACGCGUGAAGUUGACCGCCUGGGGAGUACGGCCGCAAGGUUGAAACUCAAAUGAAUUGACGGGG